rnacentral:rRNA from 1 species
UACGAAGGGGGCUAGCGUUGCUCGGAAUUACUGGGCGUAAAGCGCACGUAGGCGGGUCGUUAAGUCGGGGGGUGAAAUCCUGGAGCUCAACUCCAGAACUGCCUUCGAAACUGACGAUCUUGAGUUCGGGAGAGGUGAGUGGAACUGCGAGUGUAGAGGUGAAAUUCGUAGAUAUUCGCAAGAACACCAGUGGCGAAGGCGGCUCACUGGCCCGAUAACUGACGCUGAGGUGCGAAAGCGUGGGGAGCAAACAGG